rnacentral:rRNA from 1 species
UACGUAGGGAGCAAGCGUUGUUCGGAUUUACUGGGCGUAAAGGGCGCGUAGGCGGCGCGGUAAGUCACUUGUGAAAUCUCUGAGCUUAACUCGGAACGGCCAAGUGAUACUGCAGUGCUAGAGUGCAGAAGGGGCAAUCGGAAUUCUUGGUGUAGCGGUGAAAUGCGUAGAUAUCAAGAGGAACACCUGAGGUGAAGACGGGUUGCUGGGCUGACACUGACGCUGAGUGCGCGAAAGCCAGGGGAGCAAACGGG